ensembl:lncRNA
GUAACAUUGGUUUUGCUUUGUUUCACAGAAUUGAUAUAUGCUGGCUUUUGCUUGAAUAUGCUCGUGUGUCACGUUCCCUUGUUUGUUCAUCUGCAUUUGUAUUGUCCUUCCUUUCAGCUAUGAUGAAGACACAUUCAUUUCCACACCCUGUAAGCCUGGAGCGUCUAAACCUCCUGCACUGUCUGUUUCAAGCGUCAGCUCCCAAAGUGCGCCCGAAAAGAAGCUGUUUUUGGCAGUGUUACAGGGGCCCAUCUUGAGCAGUUAUGCCUGACUGCAGCUCUGCUGGAUCAAGCAGCUUCUCAUUAGCCAACUGUCGCAGGAGGUUCUGAUGUCCAUCCAGUCGCCGCCGGUGUUCACGGGGUCGUGGCGGGAAAUUCUGCGUCCUUGUUUGCAUCGGAGAACGAAUGGAAUGUUGAAACUCUUAGUAGCUGUUUGGACUCUCAUUCUGACGGCACCCAUUCACUGCAGAGGAUUCAUUAGUGGGCAAGUGAUGGAGUGCUACAUUUUUCCAAAUCUUAUGAAGAAACAAACUCAUCUGCAUCUUGGAUGGCCUGAGGUGCAUGACUCGAACCCGGAACUGAACAUAACUCUCAGCAUGAGUCCAGCCCGCAGGAGGAGGAAAUAAGACGUGACACCAAUAUAACUGACAAAACGGAUGCACACUCCAUAAUGCACCAGCAGGACACUGAAACAACCACUGAUUUUGUUUCCCAAGGCAUUAAGAAAGGCUUUAAAUAACUAAUUUAGACAUAUGGAUGACAUCACUGCUUUAUGCAUAUUCUACAUUACAUUACACAUGUGCAGCACAAUAAGAAAGAAAGAAAGAAAGAAAGAAAAGCUUCCUCUUGUCACUUCCC